rnacentral:rRNA from 1 species
UACGAAGGGGGCGAGCGUUGUUCGGAAUUACUGGGCGUAAAGGGCGCGUAGGCGGCCCGCUAAGUCGAACGUGAAAUCCCCGAGCUCAACUCGGGAACUGCGUCCGAUACUGGUGGGCUUGAAUCCGGGAGAGGGAUGCGGAAUUCCAGGUGUAGCGGUGGAAUGCGCAGAUAUCAGGAGGAACACCGGUGGCGAAGGCGGGUCUCUGGGCAACAACUGACGCUGAGGAGCGAAAGCGUGGGGAGCGAACAGG